rnacentral:rRNA from 1 species
UACGUAGGGGGCAAGCGUUGUCCGGAAUCAUUGGGCGUAAAGCGCGUGUAGGCGGCCCGGUAAGUCCGCUGUGAAAGUCGGGGGCUCAACCCUCGAAUGCCGGUGGAUACUGUCGGGCUAGAGUGCGGAAGAGGCGAGUGGACUUCCUGGUGUAGCGGUGAAAUGCGCAGAUAUCAGGAGGAACACCAAUUGCGAAGGCAGCUCGCUGGGACGUGACUGACGCUGAGACGCGAAAGCGUGGGGAGCAAACAGG